CUCUUCCACACUUCGCUUUUUUCUUCCCCUCUGUUGUUUCUGACGUUCACCUCUCUUCCUCUCUUCAUUUCGAUUAAACACGCCAAUUGAUGUUAACUGGAAUCACUCUGCGCACAUCCCUUCACCUGUUUGUGUGUGUCUUUCUCUUCUCUCUUGCUUCCCUUCCCUCGUCCGCUUUUUUUUUGAUUUUUCUUGUCUUCGUUAUACUUCUCCCUCCUGCAAACGCGGGGCUGUUCUAUCGCGCAGCACCACAGAAACACGUCUCGACUUCAAAAUGCUUUUUUGUUGUUGUUGUGUAUUUUCAUUCCCGUUGCUCUCUUUUUUCUAUUGUUUUCUCUACACCCCUCUUUCUUGCUUACACUUCUCUUUUCGCAUUUCUGCGCGUGUGUGCGUGUGUGCUGUGUCCGGUUUUCUCUCUGUUUUGUAGGUUCUUCUCAUUUUUUGUUUCGAUUAUUUUUAUUUGCCUUGAUCUGAGUCCAUCGGGGAGGCUGCCUACAUGUUUUUAUACACUCGUGUUCGCGAAAUCCACCCGUCCAUUCAUUCACCACGAAUACUAUGCUUUUUGUUUGCUCUCUCCACUCAUUUUUCUUUUUUCUUCUGCUCUCUUCAGCUCCGUGAUCUCUUUUCACGUUACUUUUUUUUUUCGUCGCUUCGCUCUCCUUCUCUUUCGCUUGACUUUGCGGGUGCAGGAGUGGAGCUGGGGCACCGGUGCUGUUCUCUCUCUGUCGCUCUCUCGCUGGUCCUGCGUUCUACUCUCUUCAGUUUUUGUGUAGGACUUUCGUCUGUUGUUUUUUGAAACAUGCUUUUUCCGCUUUUUCCGUUUUUUUUUUAUGCAGCCGUUCAUCUUCCUCCAUCCAACCUCAUCCCCGCAUGCCCCUCCCCUUGGCUCGUCUCUCUCUCUCUCUUUCCCUUCGUCGCCCUCAGAUGUCCUGUUCACUUUCUUUUCCGUCUUCCACAGAGACCUGCUGCAUGUGUUCUCCGCGGAAUGAGCGGCGGCACGCACACGCCGAAUGAAGAAUGAAAAUGUACGCCAGACGAUGGUGAUGUGGCAGUGAGAGAGAGAAAAAGAGAGACUGGGGGGAGGAGAAGGAGCGGGGACAGAAGUGUUAGAAGGUGUGCACGAAUAGAAAAUAUACACACAGUGUGUUACUGUUGUUAUUGCGCGGCUUUUACUCCUUUCUUUUUUUUUGCGUUGUUUUUCGAGUCUCUUUCUUUUUGCGCAUGGGGGUUUCUCGGUGUUGUUCUCGUGCUGUGUUUAACCCUCCCGCCAAUUUUAUUGAUUCCUUUGCUGACCGCUCAUGAUUUCCUCUUCUAUCACUCGCUCGCUGCAUUCACGUUAUCUGUUCUCUGUGCGCGUUAUUUGUUGCUGUCUGCGCGCAUGAGGGCUCUUCGUCGCUUGCUUUGCCUUGAUUUCUUUCCUCAAGCUAGCGCGUGUGAUCUCUCCCCUCCCGAUGGCUUCCCCCGCUUUCUUUAUCUCAUCACAUCGAAUUUUCUUGUUCUUCCUGACUGUGAGGUAGUUUGCUCUGUUGAUCUUGACGCGGAGAUUUUCUCCGGAUCCUUCUUGUACCGCUCCGCAAGAACUCUCCAUCUCACAUAAUUACGUGUGCUUUUCUUUUUUUCGAAAGUUUUGCUUUGUGUUCAGGGAGGUCUACAUCGAUUUACACACACACACACACAAGUUCACGGUCCCUCCCUCCCUGAGCUGGUCCCACGCAGAUAUGCGUUCCUGUGCGCCUCCGAAGAGAGAGAAAAAGACUGUUAUCAUCGUUCAUAAUUACCUAUGUAGCCGCAAAGCAGCGCGCAGCUCGCUGGUAAGUAGAGAUGCACAGCACCACUUCACGCCGUAGCACUCUGGGUCGUACAUGCGUGAAGGCGGAUUGCGAAAGACAGGUGGGCUAACGAGGAACGAGUCAAGAGGAAAUCGAGGCGGUGAGGGGGAAUGGCUUCAAGGACGGCCGGCGCGAAGGGCUCACGCGCGCUUCGCCUCUAGCUCUUUUCACUGUUUGCUUGGCGUCUUCUAUCCACUUCUACCCUUCUUCUGCUUCCGCCGUUUCCCCUUCGUCACCUGUCUGUAGGGAUGUCGCUCUUGUCCCCCCGACCCUCUUAUCCUCCACUUUACCGACUUCCUCUCGUGCUGAUGACUCUUCGCCAUAUCGGACUGAGCGUGAUCGUUGCCUUUCAGCGGCCAGCAUGAUGAAGCGAAGAGGCGAGGACGUGUGCCAAUGGUGGCAGCAAUCGACUAGGUUGUGGUGGUGAUGUGUGUCCAGGCUAGAUGCACGCGCAUCUGGGAGUCUUGCAUGCGAAAGUAUGUGUGACGCCUGCUAAACCAUUUCCAGCCCUGCUUGCCUUCUCAUUUCUACGUACCGCGUUCUCUCUCCAUAUUCGCUUCAAAAUGCCAUCGUUUUACUCUUCACCAUCGCUGUUUCUCUUUCCCCUGUCUAUCGCACCGCGUGCGUUGUCUCGUAGGCUCUCACACCCUUUUCCCAUUUCUUCUUAUGCUUGCUUCCCGUAGAUCGGGGUGCGUGUGUGUGUGUGCCUCCUUUCCCGUCGGAUGCCCCAGUCGAUGCUUUUCGUUUUUUUUUUUUUUCAAAUUUUCGCUUGAUCGAUGGGCGUUUCUCAAGUAUAUGUCGUCCUCCAAUUUACCCACUUCCCCUCUUUGCCUCCGUGGCUGCUCUCUCUCUCGCGGACGCUGAUGUCUAAUGAGCUAUCGAGCGAGUCGCCUGGUGAAGGGGAGGGUGUGGCCUUCCACGCAUGCUGCAUUCCCUCGCAUUCUCCUUUCUGGUGUCGCUCUCCCCCUUGGAUUUUUCUCCCCUUUUCCUCUUUUUUACUGCGUCACUCUGCCUUUGCUUUUUUUUUUUUGUGUUGCUGUUUCGUUUGAUUUUCGUUGUUUUCGUUAUCUUUUUUUUACACGUGGCGCGCUGCUCCGUUUUCUAGCCCUUGGCUCCUCCUCUGCUUUUGGGAUGUGUGCCAUCGCACCUUUCCCUAACACCCGCCCACCCACCAAGGCUGUUGUGGGAUGUCAAUGGCUCCAUCGCAUCCAACGAAAGGUGGAGGGGGAUGCCAGGCAAGGGCCAAACCAUGUGGCGAGAGAAAAGGCCGGAUAACCGGCACCAAUGAGGGAAAGGAAAUGACUAGCAUCCACAUACACACAGACACGCAAAGAAAAAGAGGAGUGCAAGCGUUUUUUUGGCUUGACCUCCGAGCCUCAUACGUGCGUAGAUGUGCUCGGAAGAGGACAAGGGCAAUCCUGCAGACUUGUGAAGACAGAGAAGAAAGCAAGUGAAAUAUGAAGCGAAGGGCACCUCUGCUUCUUUUCUUCUUUCUUUGGGAUCUUUUUCGGUGACUGGAAUGGGCAGAAAACAAAGAUGCGGCAGUCCUCGAAAAGGGGGGGGGGAGGAGGAGGAUACUGCCUUUUCGUGUGCUUCUCCCCUUCUUGCUGUCAUUUCUCCGCUGCCUCCUUUCACGUGUCCCUACCGCUGCACCUUCUCGUCCCCUUCACUCAUCCCAACUCUGCAGAUAUGCUCUUUGUAAGCGCUCUUUUUUUUUCCGGCCCUCUCCCCUGCUUCCGGCCUUCGUUGUAGCUCCCUGGUGCUGAUGCGGGGGCACAUUCGAAUUCGUCACAAUUCCUGCAGCAAUGUGUUUGAACGCCUUGCUGGUGCGCUGUUGUUUGGUUUCCACACCUUCGCUUCUCACUCGCACCCUCACGGUUCCCCCAGGUCUCGUUGUUGUUGCGCCUUAUCCGUCACCUCGCCCCUUUUCUUCUUUUUCCUCUUUUCCAGGUGUUCUUGGUUUCCGUUUUUUUUUCGUUUUUUUUUUUCCUACCUCGUUAGCUCGGCUUUGGGAUGCUUUGAUUCUUUUUAUCGUAGAUGCUCUUCUGGAUGUUGCACGUGACUUCUUUCGUUGUGGCCCCUUGCUCUGCGUCUGCGGUGCGCGCGUGCUCCUCCUCCCGUCCUCCUUUUCUCUUUUCCUUGCUUUGCGUAGUUUCGCCCUUGCUCCUUUGUGUUCAGCCAUUUGUGUAUGUAUCUGCGCGUUUUCUUUUUUGUUCCUUUCCUCUCUUGCUGCGUGUGCGUGCGUGUUACUGCCGUCUUUCUUUUCUGCCCUCUCUCCUGUGGUGUGCGUGCUUGUUUUUGCUUGUUUGGCCAGUUCUAGCCGCCAUUGUGUCUUCCCUUUUUCGUUUCAUUUCGCCCCUUCCCUCCCCCGUCUUUCCGCUGUGUGUGUGUGUGUGCGUGCGUCCUCCAAGAGCACGCGUUCCUUCCCUUUUCUGCCUCUUUUUUUUUCUUUGUUAUUCACUGGUUUGAUUUGUACCACUAACCCCAAAGGCGAAGAAAAACUUGUUCGCGUUUUUUUUUUUCGCAGAGUGGCAGUGGUGUGCCGUGCUGUUUUCGAUUCGCCCCCUUCUCCCCCCUCCCCCUCUUUCUAUUGUUCUCUUCUGCGUCUUUAUUGCUCUUCCGCCUUUCCACUUUAUCCGCUGACCCUCCCUCCCUAUCUUCUUAUCGGCUCACCCGCACGUGUUUAUCAAGCCACUUCGAUGUGUUGGCUCGCCCCCCUCCCCCUCCCCACCCCAACACCCCCAUCUCCACUUUUUUCUCCCCUUCCUUUGCCUCUCGGUCACCUCCCUUCCUUUCCUUUCCCGUUUCGCUCUACUCUCUCUCGCGUGCUAAGGAUUGCUCUCUCUCUCUGGGCGCAUCUUCUAUUUUGUCUUCCGUGUAUUUUGCGUGCACGCUUUCACAGGUGACCGUGCCGUCCCCCUUCUUUAUAUAUAUUACGCUGCCUGUGCUACUCAGGCCCUCUAGGUACAAGGCGUGCCUACUCACGUGCGUCAUUCGGCUUUAAAGGUAUGUUAGACGGAGGAGCAGUAGGAGGGUUCACGAUGGCGAUGCUGCUGGGGGGGAAGAAGGCGAGUCUUUUUUCCCCUUCUCUUGCUUGGUGUCUCCACGUGUGUAACUGUGCGCGUUUUGCUUUUUCCGAGUCUCUAUUUGCUUCUCUCUCUUAUUCUCACUUGCUUUUUCUUGCAUGCUCUCGCCAUCAUCGUCGGCCCUCUUCUCCUAUCUUUUUUAUUUCGUCCGUCUUCGUUGGCCGCCUUGUCACACGUCUGUGGCUGACAACGAUGCCCUCCCCCUUCCCCGCCACGCUCGAAAGUCGCUCUUCCUCUAUGUGCGUGUGUGUGGCCGUGCGCAACGUACGAGCGCCUACUCCUUCGUGUUCUUUUCCCGCUUUUUCUGCUUCUCUUUACCCUCUUCUGUUGGCUAGAGUUGGUGCGUUCGGCUUUCAUGCAGAGUGUUGGUUGAGACCAGCACCUACUUCACACCGCGUGCGAUCAGGCAAUUUAGAGCGGCUGCGCUCUCGAGACGUUGAUCGAGAUGACAGGCACGUGGUGGAUUCUACGAGGAAAGCGAAAGAGCUGCUAUAUUCUGUACAGCGAGAACACGACCGGCGCAUCUCACUCAGAGCACUGGGGAGCGUCGUUCAAUGAUGAGGAUCCCGAAAAAGAAGGCAGGCAAGAAAGGGCAAGGUUAGAGAGACACAAAGCGGAAAUUGCGAUGAGGGUGCCGAUGCCGGGGUCAACUCUAUUUUUUUUUUGAUAUUUCAGCUGCCUCCUCUGGCAUUGAUUCUUCUUUUUUUUUCCUGUUCCCUACUCCGCCCCCAAACCUUGCCGCUUGUGCAUUGCUUCGCGCCACCUUGCCGUCUUUUCCGCCAUCCAGCUCCAUAUCUUUCCGCCUCCACGCGCGCUCUGUGGUGCAGCUCGGACUCUCUACGUGUUUAUGUGGUGGCGCGCCAGCAAUAAGAGAGAAGGAUGCGGAGGGGGCCUGGGCGGGAGGAGAGCAGCGCAGGAGAACAUCAUCUGUGCAGACGGUAGCAGCUGGCAAGUGGUCCGUACGCGAGUCGCUAUUGUCGCGGCGGUGGGUGAGUCGAAGGGUAGGGCAUGAGGGGUGAAGUCGUGGUGGGGGACGGCACUCGAAAAGUGAAAUGAUGCGCACUGCGUAUGCACUUCUCUUUAGGGGAAAAAACAUGCCUUCAACGGGAGAGCGAGGCGGUUUGGGUGCUGGGCUCCCUCCCCUUGACCACCUUCAUCUUCUGUUUUGAGACCUUUAUUGAAAGCGUUCCGUCGCGCUUGCUCGCGUGAGAGGACAAACUCAUAAAGCGAUUGCCCCAAGUCCUUCUUUCUGGGACAUGAACUACGUGGUGUUUUCCUUUUUUUUUCGUUGUUGUUUUUCAUGUUAUCUUUGCGCUGCUGCGGCGUUGAUUCACUGGCCAUAAUGGGAGCCGCGCCAGCAGCGUUACGGCAAAAGCAUCUCCUCGUCAUCCCAGCGCCAUCGCUGUUCUCCAUCUCUGCGGGACAGAGAGCGCAUAACACAGACACAAACCGACCGGCACACAGGUGCGCGUGGUCUAAAGCAAAAGGAAAGAAAAAGAUUGUGUAAUACUUGCACAGUUCUGCGAUGAUUCCUUUUUCCUUUGAUUGCCGGUGUUGUCGCGAUUUUCUUUUUGACCGUUGCUUUCCAAGUUUUUUUUUUUCAUGUUUUUUGUGUGCUCACCUCUUCAACCUCGUGCGCCUCCGUGACUCGCCACCAGCACCACCACGAUCACCACGCAUUCUUUGUUCGCCUCUUUCUAUACUCUCCACUUCCCCCCCCCCCGUUUUCUCUGCCAGCUGCACCCCCACCCACGGUGGUUCUCCUCACCCUGGAUUAUAGCGAAAGGCAAGCCACCAAGACUGAACGAACAAAAGGAAGAAAACCCACAAAAAAAAGAAAUGGAGAAGGCGUGUGCGUGCCCGGGUGUAUCUGCGUGUUUGUCGACCGUCUUUCAAAGCACUCGCAUUUUUCUUUUUUUCCUCUUGGUUGUGUGGCGUGUGCUCAUCUGCGAAUCUCCGUGUGAUUGCAUGCUUGCAUGUGCGUGUGUGUGCUUCGUGCACAUCUUGCGUGUUUUUUUUCGAUUGCUAUUAUCGCGUAUGUACCCUUCCCUCCCCAUGUCGCUUCCAUGACGUCUGUUCGUUGUCGACUCUUUCAAUCUUUUCUGUCUUGUUCUUUUGACUCUGUGCCCCCCGCCCUCCUACCCCUCCUGCGACCUAUCCUUCUUGCGCCUUGACUCAUCACUCUUCUUCAGCGACCGCUGUGCCUCACCCGCUUUCUGGGUGUGCAUGGCUGUCGAGCAGACAGCCGUGUCCCCUACAUCGCCACACAAGAUACAAAAAAAACACUCUGAAACAGCGAUGGAAACCAGCGUGUGCCCGCGAAGAGAGUACAUGAGCACAGGUGUACUGUGGAGGUUCUCGGCCUUGUUUGAUGGCUUUUGUGUGCCUUGAGAGGCGAACCUACGCAGUGAGUCGAAUGGUAUCUAGAGCGUUUUUUUUUACAUGUGCAGUUGGAUGCCAAACUGCUACACUCAGGUGGGUGCCAUUAGGGGAGGAGGAGGAACGAGCAUGAGCCCAGUAGAAGCCACAUACACACAUGUCCGUGCACAGGCUCCCCUUUCUUCUCCAGAGCAGGCCGACAGGGAGAGAGAGAGAGACGGCGAUCCUCCAACAUCAAGGGCAUGAGAGGCACCGUGGUCAAUACCCGCACACUCUACUGGAUUUUUUUUCUCUUCUUUACGUUUCGCUUUGCCGCACCUCGUCUGCUGCUUUCGGUUUUUGUUUCUUCUUUAUCUUCUCUGAGGACGCCCGGCACCUCCCCGUGGCAUCACAGGGCCCAGCGACCACACUCUCUGUGGAACCCGUGAGCCUGCAGCCUGCCCUUGGGGGCACGGAGGCGGGCGCUUGGUGUCGGCGGACAGGCCUGAGCUGGCGCUGUGCCGAGGGGACCUGCGGGCCGUGAUGCGGGUUGGACGAGGCCACAGCGGAUGGCGUCUGCGAUGCAACAAGUGUGCGCGCGCCGCUGGCCCGUCGCGUGCGCCCGCCAUUUCAGUACGUCUUUGGUCGUUGUGAAUGGGGGCACAACGGCACGGUGGACGGGCUUGCAAGAUCGGGCGUGCCAGAGGAGCGGACGGCGGCUGCACGAGCUGCGGAUUUGGCCACUGCUCUGAGGCGCCAGGCCGACAUCCCCCGCAGCCGUGGUACGCGCGCUGCGACAAGAGCACGUUGGCGGCAGCUGCCCCACCCCAGAGGAGCAAGGAUGCUGCGCUUGCGGGACGGCAGGGGACGAUCCUGGCGCAGCUGCGCGCGGGCGUCUGUCCUUGCUGCAGAUUCGUUCAGCGGCGGGCGGCUUGCAGCGGCAGGGAGGAGCGCCGGCGGCGUGCUGGCUAACUGCUCCGCUGGCGGUGUGAUACCGCACGCCCGCCUGCUUUUGGUGUGAGGGCGUGCGCUCCGGCGCUGUGCCCGGUGUGCCACGCGCGGUUCCGCGGAUCGCUGGAGGCUCGAGGCAGACUGCACAUCGGGCUUGAUGGUGCACGCAAUGGUGCGGCCGCGCACGUCUCACUCGCGCAGCAUGGGCCUCCCCCGUCGGGUGUCUGCGGCUGCUCCCUGUGCCCCUUCAGGGCGGCCGUGCGGAAGCUCUUUGUGCGCUGGCGCGUGAUUGUCCGCGUGCCCCUUCCACUUGCCACACACACCCGCUCCUGUCACGCGCGUGCGGAUUGAGGAGGUGGAGCGCCCCUGCCGGCACAGACUCGUAGCCGCGCCGACACGCCUCCUCCCUCUCCUCCCUCUCCUCCCGCUCCUCUCUCCCCUCGCAUGGCAUCGACGGGAAACUGCAGAUGAGGGCAGCGAGCCACCCCCCUUCCCCCCCCUCCCUCCCCCCGUGCACACAGUGGAUGCGUGCGAAGUGUGCGGCCUCUCCCCCAUGCGGCCGGGCGGGUGCGAUGAGGCACGACGAGAGCGCCGCGAAUGGCGGCGUCGAGCCCUCCCGACUGCGGUGUGACGGGUGCCCACACCACCUUGUGUGAUGCCGCGGCUGGAAGCGACUGAGAGGGCGCAGCACGUGUGCGAAGGAAGGGACGAGGAAGGACAGGAGGAGCCUGCCUAGACGCGUGGCCCCGAUCCGGCGGCUGGACGCUGCGCCCUCGAGGACCCGGAUGUAGUCGCGGCGCCACAGGAGGUGGGUGCGCUGCGGUUGGAUGCGUAUACGUUUUCUGACUUGGUCGUGUUCGAAAAUUCCCUUGACUACGAAAGUGUUGUGGUGCUCUUCAUUCUUUGGUGUUGAGUCAGGUGCUCAGCUGAGCAGACGAGUAGCGGACGUUGGCAGACAGAUUGUGACAAAAAAGUAUCUACCCACGUCUCUGUGGGACUGCUUUACGUGACGCGAGAGCUGGUGGAGCGUUGCACGUUGUAGAGCAGCGCCGUAGUUGGAGGAGACAAAGCAGGGAAAUGACGCCAACCGAAAAAAAAAACAGUGGAAAAGAAGGAAAGGAACGACAUUAUAUGCGUACACCGGCGUGCACACAAGUAAGGAGGCGCUCACUCGUGGGCCGUUUCGAUAAAGCAAAAAGGGGGCGAAAGGUAGGAGUGAACCGAGAACGGCUGUUCUGGAAGCGUAGAGAAGGGAUAUUUAUAUGUAUAUCUACAUGUAUACGCUCAUGUGUGUGUGUAUGGUUGUAUUUCUACGAAAAUGCGUGAGGAGGAACGAGCAAGUGCUACUGCGGCAGAGAGGGCGUAUGAAUUGAAUGGCGUGUACUAUUACUACUACUUCGACUGUACGAUUGCGUGAACGACAUCUGCGUAUUGUUUUGAGCGUGUGUGUGUGUUGGUGCCUGCAUUUGACCGUCUCUCUCUCUGCGUGUCUGUUUAGCGUGCCCAUCCCUCCCCUUCUGUCUUUCCAUCCCUCCGCUUUAUUGGUUACGUGGCUGAAGCCAUGACGAAGAUCACGUUACAACAAGCUAGAAAAAAGAGAGAAAAUGGCGAAAACGUUGAACGGGGCAGUCGGCACAGAGAAGAAAGGCAGCUGGUAACGAUGGGGGCGAUGGGGGGCCUGGGGUGAUGUUAAUCGACCACUGUAGUGCCGCCGUGUGCCUCGCUUCUUGCGUUCUGCGUCUCUCUCCACUGCCCGCGCCUCGCUUCUGUCGGCGAUAGAGGUAAUCCGUUUACGGUGAAGGGACUGCAGCGGCGCAUCUCUGUUUGAUGCUCGACUGCUUUGUUCGUUCACUGCGUUAUGUGGAAGAGCGGCAAGCAGAGGGAAUGUGUGAUGUGAUAUUGAGGAGACCAUUAAAGCAGCGUUCUCUUCUAUUCGUCUUUCAAAUUCGAGAUGGCGGAAUUUCAUCCCUCGCACCCCUACGCCCAACUCUCACGUACAUGUGUGCGGCAUGCUGUUCUUUAAAAAAAAAUCCAUCUCUGAUGCUCUUUUACUCCACCUCUCUGCUUGUCUGCUGGUCAUUCCUUACGCUUUCGUCUCACACCUAUCGUGCAUCCGAAUCUGCGGCGCUGUACGCACCCCACCUCUCUCCUUACCCUUCCCUAUCUGCACCUCGUCAAAUUCCCUUUACCACACCUGAACACACACACACACACACACACAACUCGAAAAG
rnacentral:misc_RNA from 1 species